UUUUUUUUGUUUUUUUUUAACGCGGCAGGUCCCUUCAACAUGGCGGUUAGACAGUUAACAAUUAAGAGUCAACCAUGUUGGGAAAGGUGUCUAAAAUAUGGGAUCAUUUUGAAAAGAAGAAGGAUGACCCUAAUAAGGUGACAUGCAGACUUUGCAAGAAAAACUUCGCCUAUCACUCCUCCACAAGGAACAUGAUGUACCACCUUAAACAUGCACACAGUGGUAGCCAACAGUGACAAAGGUGGUCUUGACCGGGAAGCAGCCGGGCAGGCAGCGCAGCAUGGGCUCAACAGAGUAGCAUUUUGAUUCCUGGCCAUGAAUGUUCACCUGUUUGUCCAGCUGCACGGAUUCAAGCUUCAUACGGCACUCUGUGAGAGAAAGUGGUGUCCCUACAGCUCUCGGCGGGCAGAACCCAGGAAUGAGCAUAAGUGACUGCGCUCUUGGUCACGCGUCCGUUGGGUGUGUGGUAUUCCUGUUUGACUUCCCCAUCAGCCUUUCCACAGAGUCCACAGGUAUACAUUUUCAGCUUCGGCACUGAUGUGAACUUUGCUGCUGAUUUUGAGCCCGGCUUUUGCCAAACCCUCCUCAGGCAAACCACCCAGGAGCAACGUCUCAUACUUGUAAACAUAAGUCCUGCCAGCAGCAAACUCAGGAGCUGCAAGAACAGUUUCACUCAGAGGAGUGAGAAGUAUUCAUCCGUGUCCCCAAGAAUAUCAGCGUUAUAUGUGGCAUCAUGUUGAACAAUGGAUUAUAAAAGAGACCAGAAUAAUUUGAUUUCAGUUAAUUUAGCUGCGGUAAAUGUUGCAAUGAACUGACUUUUCUUCUUUUUUUUUUUAUCUGUCAUCAUAUAUCAAUUGAAAAAUGAAAGAAGAUCAUGAUAAAGUACUAAACUUACCAAGGUUAUGAGGUUCACCAGCUGAAAUAAGAUUUAAAAGAAUUCAGUUAUCCUUCAUGUCAAUGGUAACACUAUUAAAUCUAGUUCCAAACAUUUUAUUAUCUGUUUAUUACAUUUGAAAAAUCCAAUGUAAUAUUAUUCUAUUGUAGGCACCUUUAAUUUUACUUAAUUAAAUUUAAUAUAUAUAUAUAUAUAUAUUUUUAAAACUUCAACUUAGUUCAUGGUAUUACAGUAUGAUGUAUGCUUUAACUGAAAGUUUAACAAUGUUUAACAAUGCACAAUAUGCUAUUUAAAUAAAUUAAAUGAUACACAACAUUUAACUUCAAAUUCUCUUUUAGAAACAUCCAUUUCGUAGAGAUUAUUUUAAAAUAGCACAAAAUGUAAUGUAAUUUAUAGUGUCUGAUGCAAAUUGAUACAAGUAUCAUCCUUUUGUAAAAACUGAAGUCAGACUCACCCACAA